rnacentral:rRNA from 1 species
GACAGAGGUGCCGAGCGUUAGGCGGAAUCACUGGGCUUAAAGCGUGUGUAGGCGGAUUUUUAAGUACCUUGUGAAAUCCCACGGCUUAACCGUGGAACUGCUGGGUAUACUGGAUAUCUUGAGCCAACUAGGGGCUACCGGAACAAAUGGUGGAGCGGUGAAAUGCGUAGAUAUCGUAAGGAAGACCAGUGGCGAAGGCGGGUCUCUGGACAGUUCCUGACGCUGAGGCACGAAGGCCAGGGGAGCAAACGGG